GACGAACGCUGGCGGCAUGCCUAAUACAUGCAAGUAGAACGCUGAAGGAGGAGCUUGCUUCUCUGGAUGAGUUGCGAACGGGUGAGUAACGCGUAGGUAACCUGCCUUGUAGCGGGGGAUAACUAUUGGAAACGAUAGCUAAUACCGCAUAAUAUUAGAUGUUGCAUGACAUUUGCUUAAAAGUUGCAAUUUCAUCACUACCAGAUGGCCCUGCGUUGUAUUAGCUAGUUGGGGGGGUAACGGCUCACCAAGGCGACGAUACAUAGCCGACCUGAGAGGGUGAUCGGCCACACUGGGACUGAGACACGGCCCAGACUCCUACGGGAGGCAGCAGGAGGGAAUCUUCGGCAAUGGACGGAAGGCUGACCGAGCAACGCCGCGUGAGUGAAGAAGGGUUUCGGAUCGUAAAGCUCUGUUGUAAGAGAAGAAAGAGUGUGAGAGUGGAAAGUUCACACUGUGACGGUAUCUUACCAGAAAGGGACGGCUAACUACGUG
rnacentral:rRNA from 1 species